rnacentral:rRNA from 1 species
UGGGGAAUCUUGGACAAUGGACGCAAGCCUGAUCCAGCCAUGCCGCGUGAGUGAAGAAGGCCCUAGGGUUGUAAAGCUCUUUCGGCGGGGACGAUAAUGACGGUACCCGCAGAAGAAGCCCCGGCUAACUCCGUGCCAGCAGCCGCGGUAAUACGGAGGGGGCUAGCGUUGUUCGGAAUUACUGGGCGUAAAGCGCACGUAGGCGGGUCGUUAAGUCGGGGGUGAAAUCCUGGGGCUCAACCUCAGAACUGCCUUCGAUACUGGCGACCUUGAGUACGGGAGAGGUGAGUGGAAUUCCCAGUGUAGAGGUGAAAUUCGUAGAUAUUGGGAAGAACACCAGUGGCGAAGGCGGCUCACUGGCCCGUAACUGACGCUGAGGUGCGAAAGCGUGGGGAGCAAACA